UACGGGGGGAGCAAGCGUUGUUCGGAUUUACUGGGCGUAAAGGGCGCGUAGGCGGCCUUCUAAGUCGAACGUGAAAUCCCCGGGCUCAACCCGGGAACUGCGUCCGAUACUGGAAGGCUUGAAUCCGGGAGAGGGAUGUGGAAUUCCAGGUGUAGCGGUGAAAUGCGUAGAUAUCUGGAGGAACACCGGUGGCGAAGGCGACAUCCUGGACCGGUAUUGACGCGUGAGGCGCGAAAGCCAGGGGAGCAAAGCGGG
rnacentral:rRNA from 1 species